GUGUGUGUGUGUGUGAGUGUGUGUGUGUGUGUGUGUGUGUGUGUGAGUGUGUGUGUGUGUGUGUGUGUGUGAGUGUGUGUGUGUGUGUGUGAGUGUGUGUGUGUGUGUGUGUGUGUGUGUGUGUGUGUGUGUGUGUGUGUGGUCACUGUAGUGUAACAGAGGUUUUUGUACGACGGCUUCAUUAGAAUGUAUCACUGUGGUACACUUUCGGGGGAGGAACCAAACUCAUCAUCACCGGUCCCACGGUGAAGCCCUCCGUGUCUCUGCUCCCUCCCUCCUCUCUGCAGCUGUCUGAGGAAUCGGCCUCGCUGCUCUGCCUGCUGUCUGCCUACUCUCCACAGGGGGCGCUGGUGAGCUGGACGGUGGACGGAUCGGCGGUGAAGGACGGGGUCGUGACCAGCGCGGAAGAACAGAAGAAGGACGGUUACAUGCGCAGCAGCACCCUGACCCUCAGCAAAGCAGUCUGGGAAAAGGGGGAGGAGUUUGUCUGUACGGUCUCCCAUGGGGGCGUGGAUCAUCCGGUCAUGUUCAGAAAGAGCCAGUGUGAAGGCUAACAGCUCCAAGAUAGAAUUGAAGACUGAGCUGCUUACACAUCCAUCUACAAUAGAGUUUCAAUUCUACACAAUGCUGACAUUUCUGUCUUUACUCUCUUCACUGUCCUGUUGCUCUUCCUGUAGUUUUGCUCUGCUGAAAUAAAGCUUCAUUUUGGA